rnacentral:misc_RNA from 1 species
GAGAGAGAAAACAAGCAACACCAAAAAGAAUGAACAAACAAAAAAGGAUCAAAGAUUGGCAUUUGAGAAGUAAGUAAAAAAAACCAUGAAUUUGUCAUUUUUUAGGUUUUCUUAGAGGUAAAAGAAUCCAAAAACCUAUAAAAAUAAAAUAUAGAAGAGUACAUCAACCCCAAUGCUGGUCCAUGCCCAUUUGAACAAUCUAACUUGAAUUUCUCUCAAAUUUUAGGUUGAAAUGGUUAGGGUUUGAGUCUUCUAAGCAAUUUUAAUAUACUUUUGUGUUAGGGAAAUGUUUUCUUUUUCUUGGGAAAGUGAUGGAAAAUAGAUGGGGUUUUUAGGAGUGGAGUAUCCACAGAAGGAAGAGUUGUGAAGAUUUCCUUGUUUGCGAGUACAUAGGUAAUGUCAAAUUUGUCCUUGUUAUAAGGAAAGAAAUAAAGGGCAAUUUUGUCAUAAGCAAUGCACUAUUUAAAAAUUGCAGUUAAAGUGUGUGAAAUACAUGCUUUAACACCAUUUAUGAUUGAAUUUAAUCGCCCAAUGUCAAACAAAAAUAGGGCUUCAUUGG